rnacentral:lncRNA from 1 species
ACAAUUUUAGGGGAGAUUAUGCCUUCUUUUUUUUUUUUUUGGUUAUUUGACCAUAUUUGUUUUUUUGUAGAGAAUCAUCGAAACUUUGACGGCUAAAGUUGAGGAUUAGGAAGCUAUCAAAACAUAUCCUCCGCCACUACCACCACAAUACGCUUGUAUUAGGAUUUUAUUAUUGUACUUUGUUAAUUUAUGUGUACAUUUU